UACGGGGGGGGCAAGCGUUGUUCGGAAUUACUGGGCGUAAAGGGCUCGUAGGCGGCCAACUAAGUCAGACGUGAAAUCCCUCGGCUUAACCGGGGAACUGCAUUCGAUACUGCCGGGCUUGAGUGCGGGAGAGGGAAGCGGAAUUCCUGGUGUAGAGGUGAAAUUCGUAGAUAUCAGGAGGAACACCGGUGGCGAAAGCGGCUUCCUGGCCCGACACUGACGCUCAUGUACGAAAGCGUGGGGAGCAAACAGG
rnacentral:rRNA from 1 species